AACGAACGCCGGCGGCAGGCUUAAUACAUGCAAGUCGAACGCACCCUUCGGGGUGAGUGGCAGACGGGUGAGUAACGCGUGGGAAUCUACCCAAUACUACGGAAUAGCUCCGGGAAACUGGAAUUAAUACCGUAUGUGCCCUACGGGGGAAAGAUUUGUCGGUAUUGGAUGAGCCCGCGUUGGAUUAGCUAGUUGGUGGGGUAAUGGCCUACCAAGGCGACGAUCCAUUGCUGGUCUGGGAGGAUGAUCAGCCACACUGGGACUGAGACACGGCCCAGACUCCUACGGGAGGCAGCAGUAGGGAAUAUUGGACAAUGGGCGAAAGCCUGAUCCAGCCAUGCCGCGUGAGUGAUGAAGGCCUUAGGGUUGUAAAGCUCUUUCAGUGGGGAAGAUAAUGACGGUACCCACAGAAGAAGCCCCGGCUAACUUCGUGCCAGCCGCCGCGGUAAGAC
rnacentral:rRNA from 1 species